rnacentral:rRNA from 2 species
AAUCCAUAGGUUAAUGAGGCGAACCGGGGGAACUGAAACAUCUAAGUACCCCGAGGAAAAGAAAUCAACCGAGAUUCCCCCAGUAGCGGCGAGCGAACGGGGAGGAGCCCAGAGCCUGAAUCAGCAUGUGUGUUAGUGGAAGCGUCUGGAAAGGCGCGCGAUACAGGGUGACAGCCCCGUACACAAAAGCGCAUGUGCUGUGAGCUCGAUGAGUAGGGCGGGACACGUGGUAUCCUGUCUGAAUAUGGGGGGACCAUCCUCCAAGGCUAAAUACUCCUGACUGACCGAUAGUGAACCAGUACCGUGAGGGAAAGGCGAAAAGAACCCCGGCGAGGGGAGUGAAAAAGAACCUGAAACCGUGUACGUACAAGCAGUGGGAGCACCCUUUGGGUGUGACUGCGUACCUUUUGUAUAAUGGGUCAGCGACUUAUAUUCUGUAGCAAGGUUAACCGAAUAGGGGAGCCGGAGGGAAACCGAGUCUUAACCGGGCGUUAAGUUGCAGGGUAUAGACCCGAAACCCGGUGAUCUAGCCAUGGGCAGGUUGAAGGUUGGGUAACACUAACUGGAGGACCGAACCGACUAAUGUUGAAAAAUUAGCGGAUGACCUGUGGCUGGGGGUGAAAGGCCAAUCAAACCGGGAGAUAGCUGGUUCUCCCCGAAAGCUAUUUAGGUAGCGCCUCGUGAAUUCAUCUCCGGGGGUAGAGCACUGUUUCGGCUAGGGGGCCAUCCCGGCUUACCAACCCGAUGCAAACUGCGAAUACCGGAGAAUGUUAUCACGGGAGACACACGGCGGGUGCUAACGUCCGUCGUGAAGAGGGAAACAACCCAGACCGCCAGCUAAGGUCCCAAAGUCAUGGUUAAGUGGGAAACGAUGUGGGAAGGCCCAGACAGCCAGGAUGUUGGCUUAGAAGCAGCCAUCAUUUAAAGAAAGCGUAAUAGCUCACUGGUCGAGUCGGCCUGCGCGGAAGAUGUAACGGGGCUAAACCAUGCACCGAAGCUGCGGCAGCGACACUGUGUGUUGUUGGGUAG